GUAGAAAUAAACUGUCCAUGAAUUUAAAUCAAAACUAUUUAUAACACUUUGAGUGUUAGAGCAUAAGAAGAUGAACUUUAGGAAGUUAAGAGAGUGAUUCCCAAAUUCAGCGUGCAUCAGAAUCACCUGGAGGACUUGUUGAAACACAGAAUGCUGAGCUCCGCCUCAAGUUUCUGAUUCAGUAGUUCAGGGGUAAGGGCCAAGAAUUUGCAUUUCUACCAGGUGCUCAUGUAAUGCUGAUGCUACUUUUCCAGGAACUGCUCUUUGAGAAUCUUCUAGUAGGAUACAAAACUUCAUUCUUUAAUGAAGAAUCCGAAAAACUGAGAGGCAAACAAAGGGACUCACUCAAAAUGAGACAAGAUAUGAAAAGCCUUCAUAGAGGAAGAGGAUGAAGGGGCAGCAUAAAGAAGGAAUAGUCAAGAAUGUAAGAGAAGGAAAUCAAGAACAGGAGUUGAGCCUUUCUCUAUGCCUCUAAAACAAGCCCAGCAGUGGGGCCCUGGUUAUCUAUCUAAAAGUUGUUGGAAGGAAAGCAUAAGAUAAUGAUGUGGCUCACUCGCUGCAAAUGGUCUACCCUCCACCUCCCAGCUCCUCCAUUGAUCUCACUGAAAGAAAAGAUUGCUGGCUCGUCAAUGAUAGUGGCUCUGGCAUGUGCAAAGCUGGCUUUGCUGGGGAAGACACCCCCUGAGCCAUGUUUCUCUCCAUCGUCAGGUGCCCCUGGCACCACAGUGUGAUAGUGGGCAUGGGCAAGAAGGACUCCUACAUGGGUGACAAGACCCAGAGCAAGCCAGAUGCUGACCCUGAAGUACCCCAUCCAGCACUGCAUGGACACCAACUGGGGCAACAUGGAGAAGAUCUAGUACCAUACCUUCUACAACAAGCUGCGCAUGGCCCUGGAGGAGCACCCUGUGCUGCUGAGGCCUCCCUGAACCCCAAGGCCAAUAGAAAGAAGAUGACUCAGAUCAUGUUUGAGACCUUCAAUACCCUGGCCAUGCAUGUGGGCAUCCAAGCUGUAAUGUCCCUCUAUGUCUCUGAGUGCACCACUGGUAUUGUCAUGCAUUCUGGAGAUAGGGUCACCCACACAGUGCCCAUCUAUGAGGGCUACACCCUUCCCUAGCCAUCCUGUGUCUGGACCAGGCUGGCCGGGACCUGUCCAACAAUUUCAUAAAGAUCCUUACGGAGCACAGCUACAGCUUCACCAAAACAGUCGAGAGGGAGAUCGUGCGUGACAUCAAGAGAAGCUAUGGUAUGUUACCCUGGACUUUGAGCAGGAGAUGGCCACCACUGCAUCCUCCUCCUGGAGAAGAGCUACCAACUGUCCAAUAGCCAGAUGAUCACCAUUAGCAAUGAGUGGUUCUGACGUCUGGAGGCGCUGUUCCAGUUCUGAAGAUUAUGCUAACUUAAUAAAAUAAAAAUAACCUAAUAACUCCACCAUGAAGUAUGAUGUGGGCAUCCACAAGGACCUGUACACCAACAUGGUGCUGUCCAAUGGCACCACCACAUACCCAGGCAUCAUGGGCAGGUUGCGUAAGGAGAUCGCCACCCUGGUACCCAGCACCAAGAAGAUCACCUCCCUGCUGAGUGCAAGUACUUGGUGUGCAUCUGCGGCUCCAUCCUGGCCUCGCUGUCUACUUUCCAGUAGAUGUGGAUUAGGAAGCAGGAGUACCAUGAGUCAGUCCCCUCCAUCAUCCACUGCAAAUGCUUCUAAAUGGACUGCAGGCAGUUGCUUGUAGCAUUUGCUGCAUGGGUUAAUUCAGAAGUAUAAAUUUGCCCCUGGCACAUGUAUACACCUCAUGCUAGCCUCAUGAAACUGUAAUAAGCCUUUGAAAACAAAUUUGUCCUUGAAGCUUGUAUCUGAUAGCAAGACUGGACUGUAGAACUUGUUGCUGAUUUUAACCUUGUAUUCAGGUUAACUAUUCCCUAGUCAUUUGUUUAAUACACUGUACAUACCUUUGAUUUCAACCUUUAGUACAUGUGGCUGGGUCAGUUCAUGGCUGAGGAAAGAACAUGCUUGUGAGAGACAAGUCCAUGGCGUGGUGAGCCCGAGUAGCCAGUAGUCUCCGAUCUGCAGAGGGUAUUAAAGUGUCAUGGCUGAGUGUCAUGGGAUUUCUCCAGAGGCUGGCAAGGGCUCCUGAACCAGUUGUCAUUUCUAUCUUGCCGGUCUCUUAGGGUUGGAAAAGUCCAAGCUGUAGGAUCCCGCUUCCUUUCUUACCUGAUGUUUUCCUGCCAGAACACCAUGGACUGUUACUUGCCUUGAGUUGGAAGCAGUUUGCACUUACACCUGUAAAUUUAUUCAUCCUUUAAAUUUAUGUGAGGGUUUUUUGUACACAAUUCUCGAUUCUUUAAGACAUGAUAACAGACUUUGGUUUUCUACUGUUAUGUGAGAACAUGAGGCCCCAGCAACACAUCAUUGUGUAAGAAAAAAUGAAAGUGCUGCCAUAACCAGAAAAAAAAGAUAAUGAUGUGAAACCACUUCGAAAAGUGGUUUCAAAUAUAUUGGAAUAUUGAAAAUGCAGUUACUAUUAAAAAAAUGAUGUUUUCAGUGAUGUGCUGUUAGGUGUGCAUUAGGUUAUUUUUAUUUUAUUAAGUUAGCAUAAUCUGCAGAACUAGGAUGGCAAAUUUAAGCCUGCUCAGGCUAGGUGUGGCUGUUCUGAGACUCAUCAUGCCCCAAACUGAUCCCACACAGUAAGAUUUUUUUCCCACAGGGAAAGGGAAAGCAUUUGUAGCUCUGGCGUGCUUCAACAGUUUUCAUUUCUCCAAUAUGGAAAUCAUGGCAUAUGAUACCAAAAUUGCAUUAUCCAAACCCCAUUGCAAAUAUGUUCUCCAUAUUUUUAUCAGAAAUAAAGUUUCACAAACCCACCAAGUGG
ensembl:lncRNA novel transcript